UUAUGAAUUUCACACAAUUGUUUCAUGUUCCAAGGCAAAAUGUAGCAGUAUUGUGUUGAAACUACAUUUUAUGCAGAGAGAGUACAUGAACUUGUUUAGCUCGUGUUAGGAUAAAGUGAAUCAAUUAUGUAUUGAUAUAAUUUUCCCGCGAUAUCCUGUGCAAUCACGCAUUGCGUGCAAUGCAUUUGAGGUAAGAGAGACUUGCUUUGUCACGUCCAUGGUCACGCCAUUACUCAGCUCAGCUCGGUGAGUAUGAAUUGCCGGAAUAUAUUUGAAUAUUAGCUAAUACGUAACCAUAUGUGGUUUAUGUGUUGAGAGUCGCCAACAUAAGUUAAUGAACUGCCAUUAGGUUAUUUGCUCUUGCGCUGUUUAAUCGCCGUGUCUGCUAUGUUUCCUCAGUGAAGAUUUCCAAGCAGACGCCAUUACUGUUAACAUUACUUAACUGAACGAAGCGCUAUUCAUUUCUCUGUGCAUUUCUUUGCAUUGGUAAGUUGACCGACCAUAUUAGCGAGAGAAUACAGAAAGAGUUUGCGUUGAAUUAUUUCUGUUAACAGCACAAAUAUUUAGUUGCAGUGGCAUCAGUUAACUUGGUAGAGUGGGGCCCGCGGGCAACGUGUGUUGAUAUGCUCUAACGUUAUCUGCCAAGUAGUAUUUGUUAGCAAAAAUAGUUAAUGUAGCAUUAGCUUUGAUCAACGAGGAGUACCGGUGCUUUGCUGUGGUCAUUUGACAGUCGGAGGAUUACCUUAUUGGGCUUGUGCCAUUAAAGAUUGCUGUCAGAGGUUCAUAAUGUUAGUGCCUCUGCUGUGGCUCAAGUGCUAUGCUCCCCAUCAACCUCACACUCAGAGGUCUUUGUGAUAAAUGCAGAGUUCAAGCGUAUCACAACUAUGCCUUUACAGUCAAGGUUUUUGUCCCACCUUGACCUAGACUCCUGAGGGUGUUUGCGAAGCGAUCAGUGCAGCAGGGCAACAAGCUUUAAGACAUGGCUGCCAUGAUGCAAGAUGACAUCGAUGCUGGCAGGGAGUGCAUCAUAUAAGGACUCUGCAUCUACCUCAAUGAGGAUCCUGAUGAUGAUGCAGGAGUACAUGGAUAUGACUGAGGCCAACACACUAAGUGCCAUAGAGGGAACAACAGUGGGGAUCUAUGUCACCAGAGAGACUCCCAGCAGUGACUAUUUUGAUGCUGGAGUAAUCAUUGAGGGUGUGGUGGCACUUCACUAUCUGGAGAAUGUGGCCCUUGCAUCUGCCAUGCUGUUCGGACUUUUUUAUACCUUAAAUAUGAGGUAUCAAUCAAAGCUCCGCUACACCUUCGAAGUUAUUCAAAGGGUAAUAAUGGAUUUAGAUGCAGCUGAACUAUCAAGAAAGGUCCAAAGCCUGAAAACUAAAAUGCACCAGUGAGAAGAGCUCAAUGCUCUUGUUCUCGGCUUACUGGUCUUAGAAAAGGCAUGUGUAAAAAACCUAUAGCUGUAAAUUCUUGGACUCAUUUUUAACCAAGAUGGCUUCAACAAUAAGGUCGCUGUUCAUUUAAGUUUGUGACGCCUGCUAAAGUUAACCAUUUCCUUUGUUAUUCCCUUGACGUAGAGGAAAGCUCCCAUGUAUUUUCAUCUUGAGGUACGCACAGUGUUUACUUUUAUCGCUGCUGUGAGGCAGGCCAACCUGAUUAUGUUUAUAAGGAGUUCUGGCUUCACUCAGAACUUUCAUUCACCACUCCAAAGCACUUUACUUGCUACUAAUUUAACUUAAGGGACUUCAAAAUUACAGUAUACAGUAUGUCUGCACUGUCAAAAUUUUGUGAUGACAACUCAAUAGAGAUUUCCCCUAGAACUUUGUGAAAGUCUGGUAGAUGGAUUAAUGUUAUAUUGUAUAUACUUGAAUACUACAUGCAGAAAGACAUCUUAAACUCCAAAUAACUUGUUUUUGGGCCUCAAAAUGUGGGUUGCCUUUUGUUUUUGCUUUGAUUGCUUUAACUGUCAUUGCUAUGCAAACUUUUUUUUUAAGUUAGUAUUAGAGUUCACAUGAGAACACAAGCAGUGGGAAUGGAGGAGGAAUGGAUGUCAAAAAAGGAAAUUAAUCCUCCCCAAUGUGACAUUGUAUAAACACUGUAGUAGCUCUACCCAAACAAAUUUGCAGCAUAUACUUGAAAAUAUUGCAACUGUGUCACCAGGGUGUUAGCAUUUCGUUUCACCUAUUUGGUCCCUUGUCACACCAUUUUUGCUGCUUUCACACUGUUUAUGUAAUCACACUGCUUUCAUACUGUUUGUAACUCAGAAAAAGUUCAAAGUAUGAAUUAUUACUAAUGAGACAGCAUUGGUUGAUUAAUGGCUGGAAGACAGAAACGCAAGGCAGUUUGGUAAUGUAGAGAAUUGAUGUCACCAGGUUGAAACACUGGUAUCUGAAGUGUAGUGCUUUUUCUUGCUGAAAAUAUUUGACAUUUUAACUUCGCACAUUUAACGUUGGGACACCCGCUGUUCUUCCAGGA